GUUCUUGCUCCGUGACGGCAUUUUCACUGGGUACGGCAGUGAAAUAUAGUUCCUCCUAUAGUUCCAGUGGCCAGGAGGCUAAGACAGGAACUGAGACCUUAGGGUCACUGGGUAGUGAGACUCUGUAUCGAAGGAAGAAAAAGGUUUUCUGCUUGAAAAUGUGAGAUUAAGAGGCGCCUGGUCCUUCUCUCCCCAGUCGCUGUCCUCGAUGAGUCUCUGCAGACGGGGGACUCUCACUGGAUAAACCCCAAGCUGCUUUUCAACUAAUUAGGACGACAUUGCAUUUGCCUUCUUCAAACUCAAAGUUUGCUUAUAUGGUGAUCACAUUGAUGGAUUUUCUACCCCUACAUGCCUGGAUGAAGAUACUCCAACCAAGUACCAGGCAUGGAGAUAACCUAGGACCCCUGCACAGAUGUAGCCCAUGGCAGUUCAAUGUCCAAGUGGGGCCCCUAGUAAUGGGAGCUGGGACUGUCUCUGACAUGAACUGAUUGGCCUGCUCUUUGAUCACCUCCCCAUGAGUGGGGAGCAACCUUGCCAGGCCACAGAGGAAGACAAUGCAGCCAGUCCUGAUGAGACCCAAUAGACUAGGAUCAAAAGAAGGAGAGGAAGACCUCCCCUAUC